GUAAUUUAUAGUUUAUAUUUAUAAAAAUUUUGGGAAAUUUUUGGAAUUUAGAAAAAUAUGUUGAAGAAAUGGCGAAAAUUUAAGAUAUCCGGAAAAAAUUAUGGCUUCAAGGAAAAUUUUUGUAUGUCCGGAAAAAAUUUUUGACCCUUAAAAUGGUACACUGACCGAAAUUUUUUUGGCGACGGGGGGGAGGGGGGGGAGGUCGCCAAAAAAUUUUGCAGUGAAAAAAAAAUUUUCAGUAAAGGUGCCCUUGGUGUGCGUCCGCCCCCCUUUGCCCUAUUAUCGUUCCGGCGUCCCUG
rnacentral:lncRNA from 1 species